rnacentral:rRNA from 1 species
UACGUAGGGUGCGAGCGUUAAUCGGAAUUACUGGGCGUAAAGUGUGCGCAGGCGGCUUCGCAAGUCGAGUGUGAAAUUCCCGAGCUUAACUUGGGAAUUGCGCUCGAAACUACGGAGCUGGAGUGUGGCAGAGGAAGGUGGAAUUCCACGUGUAGCGGUGAAAUGCGUAGAGAUGUGGAGGAACACCGAUGGCGAAGGCAGCCUUCUGGGCCAACACUGACGCUCAUGCACGAAAGCGUGGGGAGCAAACAGG